AGUGAACGCUGGCGGCAGGCCUAACACAUGCAAGUCGAGCGGCAGCGCGGGGGCAACCCUGGCGGCGAGCGGCGGACGGGUGAGGAAUUCGUCGGAAUCUGCCUUUUUGUGGGGGAUAACGUAGGGAAACUUACGCUAAUACCGCAUACGUCCUACGGGAGAAAGUGGGGGACCGCAAGGCCUCUCGCAGAAAGAUGAGCCGACGACCGAUUAGCUAGUUGGUGGGGUAAAGGCCCACCAAGGCGACGAUCGGUAGCUGGUCUGAGAGGAUGAUCAGCCACACUGGGACUGAGACACGGCCCAGACUCCUACGGGAGGCAGCAGUGGGGAAUAUUGGACAAAGGGCGCAAGCCUGAUCCAGCCAUGCCGCGUGUGUGAAGAAGGCCUUCGGGUUGUAAAGCACUUUUGUCCGGAAGGAAAUCCCUGGAGCUAAUACCUUCGGGGGAUGACGGUACCGGAAGAAUAAGCACCGGCUAACUUCGUG
rnacentral:rRNA from 1 species